ensembl:lncRNA
GGCCGGCAAGGAUCCAGCAGGAGAGAAAAACAUAGGGAUAACAUCAGAAACAAGGAGUGACAGGAAACAGAGAGGGAGAGGGGUGGCGGAGGGGGGCCUGCGCAGCGCAAAACUCCAGGGAAAAAAGUUUUAGGGUUCGGGCAUUUACGAGAAAGACGUCCAGAAGGAGUGGCCAAGGUUGGACGCAAGGACAGGAUCUGUUUGGGAGCAUCGGUCUGAACCCACUUGUCUGCUUCCAUCAGGCUCUGGGGAGCAUUUUGCCCCCCCCCGUUCUGGCUCGACAAUGGUCUACAGAAGUGGACCAAGAUGGACCACCCUGCAAAGACUGGAAAAGGACCUGCCGAUUAGUUUUGAACAGGACAGCAAUGGAAUGAGCUCCCACAGAUCUAAGCAGACCCUCUGCAAUGGAUACAGCCACCAUUCCAGCUUAUCCCUUGCCACUCUGGAGUGCCACGCACAGCUAGUUACGGCUGGCCAAAGCUAUCAGACUGGGUCCAGCACUAUGAGGUGGGGCAAGUGUCAGAAGGCACAACACAACAGCGCCUCUGUGAGGGACUGCUUGAAAGAAUGCAGCUUUGUGGCCAACCUACGCCAGACCCAGACACCCCUCCCUUCGAGGAAAUGUGCUCUGGAGUUGCCGACACAGUUCAUAGGUCAAAGAAACUGUGGAGCGCCUGUUUGUGUGGUGGACCAACAAUCUGGCUCUGUUAGUGAGUCGCAGCCUUCUGGGCAGACUGAGGCAAACCAGCACACCUUUGACAAACGCUGCAGACUGAAAUCAAACUGUCACAGCAACCUAGAACCCACCUGUGCGGGCAGCAUUAAAAAGAAGCCGAUGGGACAUGUAGCGGAAGACGAUGAUGGGCCCAGAUCCACGCAAGUUAUCUUCUCUACAGAAGUUCCGCAAGACGCCACUCUUGAGCGCCUUAAAGGCAGGUGUGAUUUGGCGGAAGGGUAUGACUCAAAGAACCGGUCCGAUGCCAUGGGAGAGGGCCUGAGUGGAGAAACAUACAUUUUCACUUCAAAGAAAACACAGAGGGUUCUGCAGGACCAGAUUCGCAGAGUGGUUGUAAACCUGGAGGAAGUUCUGCAAGGCUUGAAGGGCAUCCAUCUAGAGAUGAAGGAGGUGGUCCAACAGAUUGACGUGCUGACCUCCAACAUUGACCUGGGAGAGGAGGAUACAGAAGACACUUGUGGAGGCUCCAGCAGGAGUGCACCUGCAUCAGAAGAGCCGUCGAAGAAGAUCCGCUCCAUCAGGGACAACUCUGGACGCCCCGACAGUCCGUCUCGUAAUCCGUCAACAGUGCCAAGGGCCUACAAAAGGUGCCAGGCAUCUGAAAAAGACCAGCAUGAGCGUAAAAACACUCGUUUGCCCCCACCUGCAUACCCAACUGCUGCAAACAGUUUAGCGCCAACAUCAAUUCUGGGAGAGCAAGAAUGUACAGGAGCCAAAUCGGAGGCCGCUAAAGGGCCUAGGAGCCAGAAGAAGCCCCCUCCUUAUCCGUUCAGCAGCAGAGCUGGGAGGGCAGCUAAAGGGAAAGAUGCAGACCUGAAAACUCCCCCUUACUCGGGCAGGCGAAAACUGCUUUCCACCACCGUGUAA